CUACAAUGAUGAUAAAGCACAUUUACUUUUAUUUCUGGUACCUCUUAUGUUAGGGCCUUCGGGCUCGAUGAAUGAACUGGACUUCUGAAC
rnacentral:snoRNA from 1 species